rnacentral:tRNA from 4 species
GCCGGUGUAGCUCAGUGGUAGAGCGAUCCCUUCGUAAGGGAUGGGUCAGAGGUUCGAAUCCUCUCACCGGCUCCA